GAUGAAGAACGCAGCGAAAUGCGAUAAGUAAUGUGAAUUGCAGAAUUCCGUGAAUCAUCGAAUCUUUGAACGCAUAUUGCGCCCUCUGGCAUUCCGGAGGGCAUGCCUGUCCGAGCGUCAUUACUAUCUUCAAGCACAGCUUGGUUGUUGAGCCCAAUUGUCCUCUAAUGGACAGGCUUGAAAUGCAGCGGCGAUGCCAUGUUUGGUGCCCGAGUGUAUGGGGCUUUGUCACACACUUUUGUGGCCCAGCUGGCGUUGUCUUUUAAAGUACUUACUAACUAAGAUUUGACCUCGGAUCAGGUAGGGAUACCCGCUGAACUUAAGCAUAUCAAUAAGCGGAGGA
rnacentral:misc_RNA from 1 species